AGCCAUACCUGGCAUGGGAGAUGCUGUGAUCACCGUGUGGUUUUCUCAGGUGAGGCUUGUCCAUUGCACUCUGGCUCACUGAUGCCUGUGAUUUCCUCAAAUGCAGGAACCUUGACUAUAUAAUUUUUUGGAGUUCAGGGUGGGGGGUUGUGUGUAUACUCUCCAC